UACGUAGGGGGCUAGCGUUGUCCGGAAUCAUUGGGCGUAAAGCGCGCGUAGGCGGCCCGGUAAGUCCGCUGUGAAAGUCAAAGGCUCAACCUUUGAAUGUCAGCGGAUACUGCCGGGCUAGAGUCCGGAAGAGGAAAGUGGAAUUCCUGGUGUAGCGGUGAAAUGCGCAGAUAUCAGGAAGAACACCAAUGGCGAAAGCAGCUCUCUGGGACGGUACUGACGCUGAGACGCGAAAGCGUGGGGAGCGAACAGG
rnacentral:rRNA from 1 species